rnacentral:tRNA from 1 species
ACCUUCGUGGUGUAGCGGUUAGCACGCUCGACGUGUAUUCGAGAGGUCCGUGGUUCAAGUCCCGACGAGAGCA